rnacentral:misc_RNA from 1 species
AAGUCGUAACAAGGUCUCCGUUGGUGAACCAGCGGAGGGAUCAUUAUAGAGUUAUAACAAACUCCCAACCCAUGUGAAUUUACCUAUGUUGCCUCGGCAGGUCCUACCCUGUAGUUACCCUGUAGCUACCCUGUAGCCUGCCGGUGCGUACCAAUCAUCUGUUUUAUUUGAAAUGACUGAGCGUAUUAUUUAAUAAAUAAAAAA